rnacentral:rRNA from 1 species
UCUUUGGUACUUAAAUAGCGGCGGACGGGUGAGUAACGCGUAGGUAAUCUGUCUCAUACAGGGGGAUAACACCGGGAAACCGGUGCUAAUACCGCAUAAAACAGAUAAAUGGUAUCAUAUAACUGUCAAAGGAGAAAUCCGGUAAGAGAGGAGCCUGCGUCCGAUUAGCUAGUUGGUGUGGUAAAAGCAUACCAAGGCGACGAUCGGUAGCCGGACUGAGAGGUUGAACGGCCACAUUGGGACUGAGACACGGCCCAGACUCCUACGGGAGGCAGCAGUGGGGAAUAUUGCGCAAUGGGGGAAACCCUGACGCAGCGACGCCGCGUGAAGGAAGAAGGUUUUCGGAUUGUAAACUUCUUUGAUUAGGGAAGAGAAAGGACUGUACCUAAAGAACAAGCCACGGCUAACUACGUGCCAGCAGCCGCGGUAAUACGUAGGUGGCAAGCGUUAUCCGGAAUUACUGGGUGUAAAGGGCGUGUAGGUGGAAAAGGAAGUCAGAUGUGAAAUCCCAAGGCUCAACCAUGGAGUUGCAUCUGAAACUACUUAUCUAGAGUACUGGAGAGGGAAGUGGAAUUCCUAGUGUAGCGGUGAAAUGCGUAGAUAUUAGGAGGAACACCGGUGGCGAAGGCGGCUUCCUGGACAGUAACUGACACUGAGGCGCGAAAGCGUGGGGAGCAAACAGGAUUAGAUACCCUGGUAGUCCACGCUGUAAACGAUGGAUACUAGGUGUAGGGGGUAUUGAAACCUUCUGUGCCGGAGUAAACACAAUAAGUAUCCCACCUGGGGAGUACGACCGCAAGGUUGAAACUCAAAGGAAUUGACGGGGGCCCGCACAAGCAGUGGAGUAUGUGGUUUAAUUCGAAGCAACGCGAAGAACCUUACCGGAGCUUGACAUCCCUCGAAGUUGGUAGAGAUAUCAAUGUCCGUUUGGACGAGGAGACAGGUGGUGCAUGGUUGUCGUCAGCUCGUGUCGUGAGAUGUUGGGUUAAGUCCCGCAACGAGCGCAACCCUUAUUGUUAGUUGCCAGCAUGUAAAGAUGGGGACUCUAACGAGACUGCCGGUGAUAAAUCGGAGGAAGGUGGGGAUGACGUCAAAUCAUCAUGCCCCUUAUGUUCUGGGCUACACACGUACUACAAUGGCUAUUACAGAGGGGAGCGAAGCUUAAAAGGUGGAGCGAAUCCUAAAAGAUAGUCCCAGUUCGGAUUGUGGGCUGAAACUCGCCCACAUGAAGUCGGAAUUGCUAGUAAUGGCAGGUCAGCAUACUGCCGUGAAUACGUUCCCGGGCCUUGUACACACCGCCCGUCGCACCAUGAGAGUCUGUAACACCCGAAGUCAGUAGCUUAACAGGAAACCGAGGGCACUGCCGAAGGUGGGGCAGGUAAUUAGGGUGAAGUCGGAACAAGGUA